rnacentral:rRNA from 1 species
GAUGAACGCUAGCUACAGGCUUAACACAUGCAAGUCGAACGAAGUCUUCGGACUUAGUGGCGCACGGGUGAGUAACACGUGGGAAUAUACCUUACGCUGGGGGAUAACAUCGGGAAACUGAUGCUAAUACCGCAUACGCCCUUCGGGGGAAAGAUUUAUCGGCGAAAGAUUAGCCCGCGUCCGAUUAGCUAGUUGGUGAGGUAACGGCUCACCAAGGCUCCGAUCGGUAGCUGGUCUGAGAGGAUGACCAGCCACACUGGGACUGAGACACGGCCCAGACUCCUACGGGAGGCAGCAGUGGGGAAUAUUGGACAAUGGGCGCAAGCCUGAUCCAGCCAUGCCGCGUGAGUGAUGAAGGCCUUAGGGUUGUAAAGCUCUUUCACCCACGACGAUGAUGACGGUAGUGGGAGAAGAAGCCCCGGCUAACUUCGUGCCAGCCGCCGCGGUAA